UGAGCUGUGCUGAGCUGUGCUGUGCUGUGCUGUGCUGUGCUGUGCUGAGCUGUGCUGAGCUGUGCUGUGCUGAGC
ensembl:miRNA predicted gene, 25033